UCCACAACGUCAAGGAGCUGGAAGUGCUGC
rnacentral:piRNA from 1 species